UACGAAGGGGGCUAGCGUUGCUCGGAAUCACUGGGCGUAAAGGGUGCGUAGGCGGGUCUUUAAGUCAGGGGUGAAAUCCUGGAGCUCAACUCCAGAACUGCCUUUGAUACUGAAGAUCUUGAGUUCGGGAGAGGUGAGUGGAACUGCGAGUGUAGAGGUGAAAUUCGUAGAUAUUCGGAAGAACACCAGUGGCGAAGGCGGCUCACUGGCCUGGUACUGACGCUGAGGUGCGAAAGCCAGGGGAGCGAACGGG
rnacentral:rRNA from 1 species